rnacentral:rRNA from 1 species
GCGUGGAGGAAGAAGGUUUUCGGAUUGUAAACUCCUGUCCAAAGGGACGAAGACAGUGACGGUACCUUUGGAGGAAGCCCCGGCUAACUCCGUGCCAGCAGCCGCGGUAAUACGGGGGGGGCAAGCGUUGUUCGGAUUUACUGGGCGUAAAGGGCGCGUAGGCGGUUUCGGAAGUCAUGGGUGAAAGCCCUCGGCUCAACCGGGGGAUUGCCUGUGAAACCACGGAACUGGAGUGCUGGAGAGGAGAGUGGAAUUCCCAGUGUAGCGGUGAAAUGCGU